UACGGAGGGUGCAAGCGUUAUUCGGAAUUACUGGGCGUAAAGCGCACGCAGGUGGCUGAGUCAGUCGAUUGUGAAAGCCCUGGGCUUAACCUGGGAAUUGCAGUCGAUACUACUCAGCUAGAGUAUGGGAGAGGGCAGUGGAAUUCCCGGUGUAGCGGUGAAAUGCGUAGAUAUCGGGAGGAACAUCAGUGGCGAAGGCGGCUGCCUGGCCCAAUACUGACACUCAGGUGCGACAGCGUGGGGAGCAAACAGG
rnacentral:rRNA from 1 species